UCUGGAAAGGCGUGCGAUACAGGGUGACAGCCCCGUACACAAAAAUGCACAUAUUGUGAGCUCGAUGAGUAGGGCGGGACACGUGGUAUCCUGUCUGAAUAUGGGGGGACCAUCCUCCAAGGCUAAAUACUCCUGACUGACCGAUAGUGAACCAGUACCGUGAGGGAAAGGCGAAAAGAACCCCGGCGAGGGGAGUGAAAAAGAACCUGAAACCGUGUACGUACAAGCAGUGGGAGCACGCUUAGGCGUGUGACUGCGUACCUUUUGUAUAAUGGGUCAGCGACUUAUAUUCUGUAGCAAGGUUAACCGAAUAGGGGAGCCGAAGGGAAACCGAGUCUUAACUGGGCGUUAAGUUGCAGGGUAUAGACCCGAAACCCGGUGAUCUAGCCAUGGGCAGGUUGAAGGUUGGGUAACACUAACUGGAGGACCGAACCGACUAAUGUUGAAAAAUUAGCGGAUGACUUGUGGCUGGGGGUGAAAGGCCAAUCAAACCGGGAGAUAGCUGGUUCUCCCCGAAAGCUAUUUAGGUAGCGCCUCGUGAAUUCAUCUCCGGGGGUAGAGCACUGUUUCGGCAAGGGGGUCAUCCCGACUUACCAACCCGAUGCAAACUGCGAAUACCGGAGAAUGUUAUCACGGGAGACACACGGCGGGUGCUAACGUCCGUCGUGAAGAGGGAAACAACCCAGACCGCCAGCUAAGGUCCCAAAGUCAUGGUUAAGUGGGAAACGAUGUGGGAAGGCCCAGACAGCCAGGAUGUUGGCUUAGAAGCAGCCAUCAUUUAAAGAAAGCGUAAUAGCUCACUGGUCGAGUCGGCCUGCGCGGAAGAUGUAACGGGGCUAAACCAUG
rnacentral:rRNA from 1 species